rnacentral:tRNA from 1 species
UCCUGGUGGCUCAGUGGUAAAGAAGCUGCUUGCAAUUCAGGAGACCCAGGUUCAAUCCCUGGCUCAGGAA